AUGAUGAAGAUAAUCAUACAUAAUUUCAUAAUCACUAAGAAAUGGCAUGAGUAUGAGUAUCUCACUGCAGCACCAGAUAGGCGACCAAGUAUAUUCAUGCUCUCAGUAUUAGACUUCAAGAGAAUACCAUAUAUCUAUUUGCCUCAACAUAACCAAUCCCUGGAGAACUUAAAGAAAUCCCACUUUUAA